rnacentral:rRNA from 1 species
GACGAACGCUGGCGGCGUGCUUAACACAUGCAAGUCGAACGGAAAGGCCCGGCUUUUGCGGGGUGCUCGAGUGGCGAACGGGUGUGUAACACGUGAGUAUCCUGCCCUUGACUUUGGGAUAACUUCAGGAAACUGCGGCUCAUACCGGAUAGGAGCUCCUGCUGCGUGGUGGUGGUUGGUAAGUGUCGGCGGUUGGGGAUGGACUCGCGGCUUAUCAGCUUGUUGGUCGGGUAGUCGCUUACCAAGUCUUUGACGGGUAGCCGGCCUGGGAGGGUUAACGGCGACAAGGGGACUAAGGGAGGGCGCAGACGGGUAUGGGAGGCAGCAGGGGGAAAUUUUGCAGAAUGGGGCGAAGCGUGAUACGGAAGCGCCCCGUGCGGGAUGACGGCCUUCUGGGUAAAAACAGCUUUCGACUGUGACGUAGCGUGAUUGACGGUAAUGGGUAAAGAAGCACCGGCUAACUACGUG